GGUACAAAAGGUACAAAACUUGGACCCCUCUUCUUCCUUGUGAUGAUAAAUGACUUGCAAACCACGGACUCACUGGCCGCCAAGUACCAAAUCUCUUCACAAUGUUUGUUGGCUAUCCAGGCACUGAAAAUCCGCAGCAAUAGACUAUUCAGCCACGACGCCGCUCCUGUCUAUUACCGAAGAUGAACAAAAUAUUCUCAUGGGUCGAGCCACAUCAUCCGCCCUUGUUAAACAACUAUCAAAAUUCGGCAAGGCACACGUUGCUUCCUCAGAGAUAUAUGACGUACUUCACAAGGCCUACUCUGGGGCGGUAAAUCGCCUUAAAUCGCUGCGAUAUAAUGCGAUUUUAGGCGAUUUAAGGAAAAACUGGGACUUUCAAGCAUUGCGAUUUAAUGCGAUUUUAGGCGAUUUAAGAGAAAAUUCUAAAUUUUAGGGAUUGCAAUUUUGACCUGUGUUUUCAAGGUAAUUGAAUUUUAUAUUUUGCUCCGGUUUCCUCCCACAAGGCAAAAUAUGGCAGGGUGGGUUAGAAUAAACACAGUUAGAAAAGUGAUAUCAUAUUCUCAUUGUUAUAAAGAUAAAUAGUCUAGACUAACAUAAGUAACCCUAAUACUUGAUGUAAGCGGUGACUGAAAAGCCCCAAAGGGGAGUGAGCUGAAUAAUGUAAUGUUUUCACACACAUUGACACAUAUGC